UACGUAGGGGGCAAGCGUUGUCCGGAUUUACUGGGCGUAAAGAGCGUGUAGGCGGCCACGCAGGUCCGUUGUGAAAACUGGAGGCUCAACCUCCAGACGUCGACGGAAACCGUAUGGCUAGAGUCCGGAAGAGGAGAGUGGAAUUCCUGGUGUAGCGGUGAAAUGCGCAGAUAUCAGGAAGAACACCAAUGGCGAAGGCAGCUCUCUGGGACGGUACUGACGCUGAGACGCGAAAAGCGUGGGGAGCGAACAGG
rnacentral:rRNA from 1 species